rnacentral:rRNA from 1 species
AUGGCAUACACUGGAUACGCCGUUCUUAGCAUGAUCUCAUCAAUCAGCAUACCCCUGAUGUUCCGUCAGAUCAAGUGGUACUAUGUGAUAGUAGCAUAUCUCCUUGCACCUGUGCUCGGGUUCUCCAAUUCGUACGGAGCAGGUCUCACUGACAUCAACAUGGCCUAUAACUACGGCAAGAUCGCCUUCUUCAGCUUCGCAGCCUGGGCUGGCAAGAAAAAUGGUGUAAUUGCCGGCCUGGUUGGUGGUACGCUGGUGAAGCAGUUGGUCCUCAUGUCUGCCGAAUUGAUGCAUGACUUGAAGACGAGUUAUCUCACGUCGACAUCCCCAAGAUCCAUGCUUGUCGCACAGGCUAUCGGGACGGGCAUGGGUUGCAUCGUCUCACCCCUCACCUUCAUGCUCUUCUACAAGGCAUUUGAUGUUGGUAACCCAGAUGGCUAUUGGAAUGCGCCGUAUGCACUCAUCUACCGUAGUAUGGCGAUUCUCGGUGUGGAAGGCUUCUCAGCUUUGCCAAAGCACUGCCUAUCAAUCUCGGCUGGAAUUUUUGCAUUUGCGAUGCUUCUGAGUAUUGCAAGGGAUACCCUACCACGCAGGUACGGCAAGUAUGUUCAACUACCGAUGGCAAUGGCGGUGCCUUUCCUUGUAGGUGGGAGCUUUGCCAUUGACAUGUGCAUCGGGAGUUUGGUGGUAUUUGUGUGGGAGAAGAUGAACAAGAAGGAGGCUGCCAUCCAAGUGCCUGCUGUUGCAUCCGGCUUGAUAUGUGGGGAUGGCAUAUGGGUAUUCCCAUCUUCCUUACUUGCUCUUGCCAAGAUUAACCCUCCAAUCUGCAUGAAGUUCACUCCUGCCAGCUAG